rnacentral:rRNA from 1 species
UGGAAUUCCAGGUGUAGCGGUGAAAUGCGUAGAUAUCUGGAGGAACAUCAGUGGCGAAGGCGACUCACUGGGCCAUUAUUGACGCUGAGGUGCGAAAGCGUGGGUAGCAAACAGGAUUAGAUACCCUGGUAGUCCACGCCGUAAACGAUGUGCACUAGUUCGAUGCCGGUCUGACCCGGUGUCGGACGCAGAGAAAUUAUUAAGUGCACCGCCUGGGGAGUACGGUCGCAAGGCUAAAACUCAAAGGAAUUGACGGGGGCUCACACAAGCGGUGGAGCAUGUUGCUUAAUUCGAAGCAACGCGAAGAACCUUACCAGGGUUUGACAUGCACGGAUUACCUCUAUGAAAGUAGAGUUACGCUCGCAAGAGUGGAACGUGCACAGGUGCUGCAUGGCUGUCGUCAGCUCGUGCUGUG